rnacentral:rRNA from 1 species
CUGGGAGGACCAUCUCCUAAGGCUAAAUACUCUCUAGUGACCGAUAGUGAACCAGUACCGUGAGGGAAAGGUGAAAAGCACCCCGGAAGGGGAGUGAAAUAGAACCUGAAACCGUGUGCUUACAAGUAGUCAGAGCCCGUUAAUGGGUGAUGGCGUGCCUUUUGUAGAAUGAACCGGCGAGUUACGAUUUGAUGCAAGGUUAAGCAGUAAAUGUGGAGCCGUAGCGAAAGCGAGUCUGAAUAGGGCGUUUAGUAUUUGGUCGUAGACCCGAAACCAGGUGAUCUACCCUUGGUCAGGUUGAAGUUCAGGUAACACUGAAUGGAGGACCGAACCGACUUACGUUGAAAAGUGAGCGGAUGAACUGAGGGUAGCGGAGAAAUUCCAAUCGAACCUGGAGAUAGCUGGUUCUCUCCGAAAUAGCUUUAGGGCUAGCCUCAAGUGAUGAUUAUUGGAGGUAGAGCACUGUUUGGACGAGGGGCCCCUCUCGGGUUACCGAAUUCAGACAAACUCCGAAUGCCAAUUAAUUUAACUUGGGAGUCAGAACAUGGGUGAUAAGGUCCGUGUUCGAAAGGGAAACAGCCCAGACCACCAGCUAAGGUCCCAAAAUAUAUGUUAAGUGGAAAAGGAUGUGGCGUUGCCCAGACAACUAGGAUGUUGGCUUAGAAGCAGCCAUCAUUUAAAGAGUGCGUAAU